rnacentral:rRNA from 1 species
AGCGAACGCUGGCGGCAUGCCUAACACAUGCAAGUCGAACGGGACCUUCGGGUCUAGUGGCGCACGGGUGCGUAACGCGUGGGAACCUGCCCUUAGGUUCGGAAUAACUCCCCGAAAGGGGUGCUAAUACCGGAUAAUGUCUUCGGACCAAAGAUUUAUCGCCUUUGGAUGGGCCCGCGUUGGAUUAGCUAGUUGGUAGGGUAAAAGCCUACCAAGGCGACGAUCCAUAGCUGGUCUGAGAGGAUGAUCAGCCACACUGGGACUGAGACACGGCCCAGACUCCUACGGGAGGCAGCAGUGGGGAAUAUUGGACAAUGGGCGAAAGCCUGAUCCAGCAAUGCCGCGUGAGUGAUGAAGGCCUUAGGGUUGUAAAGCUCUUUUACCCGGGAUGAUAAUGACAGUACCGGGAGAAUAAGCUCCGGCUAACUCCGUG